rnacentral:rRNA from 1 species
UACGUAGGGGGCAAGCGUUGUCCGGAUUUAUUGGGCGUAAAGAGCUCGUAGGUGGUUCGGUAAGUCGGAUGUGAAAUCUCCAGGCUCAACCUGGAGGGGUCAUUCGAUACUGCCGUGACUAGAGGUCGGUAGGGGAGUGUGGAAUUCCUGGUGGAGCGGUGAAAUGCGCAGAUAUCAGGAGGAACACCCAUAGCGAAGGCGGCACUCUGGGCCGAUACUGACACUGAGGAGCGAAAGCGUGGGGAGCGAACAGG